AGAUUGAAAUUUUUGAUAUGAUGGUUUUAUAUUCGGUUUAAGCAACUGUGGUGCCGUCUAUAUAUAUCAUCAAGUGAUUGUUUUAAAUAAAUG